AAAUUUUCAUGAGCAACGGCUGUAUAUUUCAUCUUCCAUACAUUGAAAUUAAAACACAUUUUGGUGUCUUGAAUGUAUUAAUUUAAAGAUCUCAAAUUCAUUCUUGGUGUCUCAAUCAACAUUAGAAGAAAACAGGAAAAAACCAGAACAUAGAUUCAUCCUUUGUGUCUCAAUCAACAUCGGAAAGGCCUAUUGUGUCACGAUGUCAUGCCUUUUGGAAUAUUUUUAUCAUGUGUGUUUGAUAUUGGUCUAUUCAAUUUUCAUGGUUUUGUGCUUAAUUUCUUUUAAAAUAUUUUUAUGGAUAGAUUUGAAUAUCUGACUAUCUUUGAAAUACUUCUAUGGUCUUUUUAGGAUAAUUGUUU